UACGAAGGGGGGCUAGCGUUGCUCGGAAUCACUGGGCGUAAAGCGCACGUAGGCGGCUUUCUAAGUCAGGGGUGAAAUCCUGGAGCUCAACUCCAGAACUGCCUUUGAUACUGGGGAUCUCGAGUCCGGGAGAGGUGAGUGGAACUCCGAGUGUAGAGGUGAAAUUCGUAGAUAUUCGGAAGAACACCAGUGGCGAAGGCGGCUCACUGGCCCGGUACUGACGCUGAGGUGCGAAAGCGUGGGGAGCAAACAGGG
rnacentral:rRNA from 1 species